rnacentral:lncRNA from 1 species
UGAUCGAUUGAUAUCAUGUGACAGGUAAAAAAGCUAUUGGAGAUCUGAUCUCUUGCGAUGGCCAUUUGAUCCGUCAUGAGCUGCUCAAGGUAAAAAUUGCUGCGGUUAAAUUUAGGGAUACUCGUGAUGCUCGGAGGGUCGAGCUUCGAUAUGGAUAAAGGGCAUGAACGGGCAAUGAUGAUCUAGUGGUGGGCAUGAAUGCAACCCACCACCCACCCUCAUGCAUGAACACAUCUUUCAAGAAGCGGCCCCAUCCUUGUCCUUGCACAAUCAAAACUGAGGAGGUGAGCAUGGCCUGCAUGUGGAGGCAGAGAAUGAUUUGACCAGUUCUCGUAGAAAGUUGGAGAAAAGGAGACUGUGUCGGGGGGUACUACAAAGGCACCCUAAGGUUGUGGACCUCGAUGACACCAUCGCCUCGCCUUGACCUUUAAUGGAGCUGUAAGGGCACUGGCAAAAACCAUGGCAGGUUUAAGCGGUGUCAGGAACAAGGAUAAGAAUGACCAACAGGAAAAGGUUUAGAUAGAGAGCGAGAGAGAGAGAGAGAGAGAGACAUCCAUAUCCAACAUGUCCUACUUGAUUGAUCCCCCGAGAAGCUGCUGUUUACCUGGAAGUCCUCAGAAACUGGAAGCCAACUUGUUCAGACUAUGAAAGUAGAUAUAGCAAAUGUUGAUUGAACUACAGGCUUAUAUUCUCUUUGCGCUGAAGAUUUCCUUGGCGUGUGUUUCUUCUUCCAACAGUAUCGACAAGAAGCGGAAGAGAGAGAGAGAGAAACUUGGGUGGAAAGGAAGGAAAGGUAAAGGUUGGAUCUGUAACCAUGGAAAGAAGAGCAAUAAUAAUUACACGCGACGAAUAGCAUUGGCACUUACAGGUUGACAACAGGAACUCGAAACAACAAUGUCUGUGAGAUUCAUCAGAAAAUGGAAGGAGGAUUCAUCCUCUUGUUGUGGCUGAAACAAGUCAACCUUUUCUAUACAGAAGCAUUAGAU